CAGGGUAGCCACCCAGUAAUCAGCACAAGUUAGAAUGUGGGCAACUCGGCAGUCGUUGCGCAGGCACUUUGGUGACUCUAGAAAACUUCAGGCCGUUAGCACGUCCCCAUGAUGGCGACAACGCAUUUAGAUGUCUGCCCUAUCAACUUUCUAUGGUACUUUCUGCGCCUACCAUGGUGACCACGGGUAACGGGGAAAUAAGGGUUGAUUCCGGAGAGGGAGCCAGAGAAACGGCUACCACAUCCAAGGAAGGCAGCAGGCGUGCAAAUUACCCACUCCCGACGCGUGGAGAUAGUGA